rnacentral:lncRNA from 1 species
UUCGUCCGUUACUCUCUUGAAUAGCUGGGGCUUUUUCAAGAGUUCUGACAUCGACCAAUCCCCCAUUGUAGCAGCGGUGUCUGUUCCUCCAGCAAUCAGGUCCUAGCCAUCAACAUGAACAACAACCAUAAAUAUUUUGUUUUUUGUUUCUGACAUCUUCUUCUUAUUUUGGCAAUAAAGCAAGUCUUUGAAAGCUAAUUCGAUGUUUUUAAGAUGGUCUCAAUAAUUGGCUAGUGGUCAACAGUUACUGCUAUCUAUUUUCCACUUUAGCUCGCGCGGGUGCCAGUAGCUGUCAAGAUGCUGCUUCUUUGAGGAUCAAUUGAUGUGCAAAUUAACCCCAAAUUAAGCUCGCAAUCUUUAACCAAUCUCUCGUUGAGUUCUUUAAAAAAAAUUCUCUCGUUUAGAUUUUCAAAAGUUCUCAUCUUGUGCAUGUACUCUUCAGAAGUGUUUCCACACAAAACAUCAAUCUCCAUACAAAAUAACGUUAUUUGAAAUUUUCCCUAAAUUUAUUGCUCACUCUACGGUCUUGAAACUCAUUAGCGCAUGAAAAAUCGACACAGAAACAGUAAGAUGGCAGGAAGAUUAGGUAGAUUCCUGCUUAUCCCCGUCAAAUCACAGUUUGUACGAAAUAGAGACGACCAUGUGAUUAAAAAAGUGAAGGAUUUUCUCUCUGUUUUAGAAAACGAGAUUACUUUUGAAUUAUGAAUUAUAAGAAAACAAAACAAAAAGAAGAGGAAAAAAUAGAUAAGAGUGGAGAGAGACAAUUAAAAGAAAAAAAAAAUAUAUAUAUAUAUAAGAAAAAAACCUGUGUCAGCCCCUUGAUGUUGUCUUUAGUUAGCUUAACUUCAAGCUCAGGGUCAUCAGCAAGCUGCAAGAGCAGAUCCACCAUGUCUUUGGGCUGCCAAUUUUUGGUUGCUUUUCUCUUUGCGUUGUGUUCAUCAAUGACAUGGUCAUG